CUGGACAGUACUGACGCUGAGAUGCGAAAGCGUGGGGAGCAAACAGGAUUAGAUACCUGGUAGUCCACGCUGUAAACGAUGUCGAUUUGGAGUUUGUUGCCUAGAGUGAUGGGCUCCGAAGCUAACGCGAUAAAUCGACCGCCUGGGGAGUACGGCCGCAAGGUUAAAACUCAAAUGAAUUGACGGGGGCCCGCACAAGCGGUGGAGCAUGUGGUUUAAUUCGAUGCAACGCGAAGAACCUUACCUGGUCUUGACAUCCAUAGAAUUCUGCAGAGAUGUGGGAGUGCCUUCGGGAACUAUGAGACAGGUGCUGCAUGGCUGUCGUCAGCUCGUGUUGUGAAAUGUUGGGUUAAGUCCCGCAACGAGCGCAACCCUUAUUCUUUGUUGCCAGCGAUUUGGUCGGGAACUCAAAGGAGACUGCCGUUGAUAAAGCGGAGGAAGGUGGGGACGACGUCAAGUCAUCGUGGCCCUUACGACCAGGGCUACACACGUGCUACAAUGGCGUAUACAAAGGGAAGCGAAGGUGCGAGCUGGAGCGGAUCUCAUAAAGUACGUCUAAGUUUGGAUUGGAGUCUGCAACUCGACUCCAUGAAGUCGGAAUCGCUAGUAAUCGUAGAUCAGAAUGCUACGGUGAAUACGUUCCCGGGCCUUGUACACACCGCCCGUCACACCAUGGGAGUGGGUUGCACCAGAAGUAGAUAGCUUAACCGCGAGGGGGGCGUUUACCACGGUGUGAUUCAUGACUGGGGUGAAGUCGUAACAAGGUAACCA
rnacentral:rRNA from 1 species